CAAAUUUUCUACAAAAUAUUAUCAUUGGCAUUAGUAAAUAGUAAUAAUAACUUGAGAUCUACAUCACUACAUAAACCUAAUUAAGCAGACAUUUCCCCCUAACUUCAUUCCAAAGAAAACUUUGCCCUCUUUCACUUUCCCCCAUGGAAUGAAUGUUCCUCCUGACUUCUCCCUGCCGUGGCCGGAACGACAACUAACUUAUCACCCUUCACCUCUACGUUAUAUCAUAACUACAACCCUACAUUUACACCACAUAGUAAAACAUUCACUUCACUUCUUUGGGGAUCCUGAUCAAAGUUUCGAAUCAUCCAUAUUCUCGAAUCUCUUGCUCCCAGUACUGCUGCUCUGAUCUUCAUCUUUCC
rnacentral:lncRNA from 1 species